CGAAGGGUGCAAGCGUUACUCGGAAUUACUGGGCGUAAAGCGUGCGUAGGUGGUUGUUUAAGUCUGAUGUGAAAGCCCUGGGCUCAACCUGGGAACUGCAUUGGAUACUGGGCAACUGGAGUGCGGUAGAGGAUAGCGGAAUUCCCGGUGUAGCAGUGAAAUGCGUAGAUAUCGGGAGGAACAUCUGUGGCGAAGGCGGCUAUCUGGACCAGCACUGACACUGAGGCACGAAAGCGUGGGGAGCAAACAGGAUU
rnacentral:rRNA from 1 species